GGAAGCACUGAGUCGUGUUUAGGGUGUGG
rnacentral:piRNA from 1 species